AUACGGAGGGUCCGAGCGUUAUGCGGAAUCAUUGGGUUUAAAGGGUCCGUAGGCGGGAAUCUAAGUCAGUGGUGAAAUCUUGCAGCUCAACUGUAAAAUUGCCAUUGAUACUGGAUUUCUUGAAUUAGUGUGAAGUGAUUAGAAUGUGUAGUGUAGCGGUGAAAUGCAUAGAUAUUACACAGAAUACCAAUUGCGAAGGCAGAUCACUAACACUAUAUUGACGCUGAGGGACGAAAGCGUGGGGAGCGAACAGGAUUAGAUACCCUAGUAGUCC
rnacentral:rRNA from 1 species